rnacentral:rRNA from 1 species
UACGAGAGGCCCAAACGUUAUUCGGAAUUACUGGGCGUAAAGUGUGCGCAGGCGGCCGCGCAAGUCGAGUGUGAAAUCCCCGAGCUUAACUUGGGAAUUGCGCUCGAAACUACGUGGCUGGAGUGUGGCAGAGGAAGGUGGAAUUCCACGUGUAGCGGUGAAAUGCGUAGAGAUGUGGAGGAACACCGAUGGCGAAGGCAGCCUUCUGGGCCAACACUGACGCUCAUGCACGAAAGCGUGGGGAGCAAACAGG